rnacentral:rRNA from 1 species
CCUACGGGGGGCUGCAGUGGGGAAUAUUGGACAAUGGGGGGAACCCUGAUCCAGCCAUGCCGCGUGUGUGAAGAAGGCCCUCGGGUUGUAAAGCACUUUCAGUGAGGAAGAACGCCUGGUGGUUAAUACCCAUCAGGAAAGACAUCACUCACAGAAGAAGCACCGGCUAACUCCGUGCCAGCAGCCGCGGUAAUACGGAGGGUGCGAGCGUUAAUCGGAAUUACUGGGCGUAAAGCGCGCGUAGGUGGCUUGAUAAGCCGGUUGUGAAAGCCCCGGGCUCAACCUGGGAACGGCAUCCGGAACUGUCAAGCUAGAGUGCAGGAGAGGAAGGUAGAAUUCCCGGUGUAGCGGUGAAAUGCGUAGAGAUCGGGAGGAAUACCAGUGGCGAAGGCGGCCUUCUGGACUGACACUGACACUGAGGUGCGAAAGCGUGGGUAGCACACAGGAUUAGAUACACCAGUAGUC